UACGAAGGGGGCUAGCGUUGCUCGGAAUCACUGGGCGUAAAGCGCACGUAGGCGGCUUUUAAGUCAGGGGUGAAAUCCUGGAGCUCAACUCCAGAACUGCCUUUGAUACUGAGAGGCUUGAGUCCGGGAGAGGUGAGUGGAACUGCGAGUGUAGAGGUGAAAUUCGUAGAUAUUCGCAGGAACACCAGUGGCGAAGGCGGCUCACUGGCCCGGUACUGACGCUGAGGUGCGAAAGCGUGGGGAGCAAACAGG
rnacentral:rRNA from 1 species